GAUGAACGCUAGCUACAGGCUUAACACAUGCAAGUGAGGGGAAACGAUGAGAGACUUGCUCUCUUAGGUGUCGACCGGCGCACGGGUGAGUAACGGUACCAACCUGCCUCUGACCCAAGGGAUAACCCGUCGAAAGUCGGACUAAUACCUAUGUAGUCGUCGGAAGUCAUCUGAUGACGACGAAAGAUUUCAUCGGUGAGGGAUGGGGAUGCGUCUGAUUAGCUUGUUGGCGGGGUAACGGCCCACCAAGGCUACGAUCAGUAGGGGUUCUGGAGGAAGGUCCCCCACAUUGGAACUGAGACACGGCCAAACUCCUACGGGAGGCAGCAGUGAGGAAUAUUGGUCAAUGGGCGGAGCCUGAACCAGCCAAGUAGCGUGCAGGAUGACGGCCCUAUGGGUGUAAACUGCUUUAUGCGGGGAUAAAGUGAGGGACGUGUCCUUCAUUGCAGGUACCGCAUGAAUAAGACCGCUAUUCC
rnacentral:rRNA from 1 species